rnacentral:rRNA from 1 species
CCUACGGGAGGCAGCAGUGAGGAAUAUUGGUCAAUGGACGAGAGUCUGAACCAGCCAAGUAGCGUGAAGGAUGACUGCCCUAUGGGUUGUAAACUUCUUUUAUAUGGGAAUAAAAUGUUCCACGUGUGGGAUUUUGUAUGUACCAUAUGAAUAAGGAUCGGCUAACUCCGUGCCAGCAGCCGCGGUAAUACGGAGGAUCCGAGCGUUAUCCGGAUUUAUUGGGUUUAAAGGGAGCGUAGGUGGAUUGUUAAGUCAGUUGUGAAAGUUUGCGGCUCAAGCGUAAAAUUGCAGUUGAAACUGGCAGUCUUGAGUACAGUAGAGGUGGGCGGAAUUCGUGGUGUAGCGGUGAAAUGCUUAGAUAUCACGAAGAAGUCCGAUUGCGAAGGCAGUUCACUGGACUGCAACUGACACUGAGGCUCGAAAGUGUGGGUAUCAAACAGGAUUAGAUACCCCUGUAGUC